AUGGAAGGACCACCAGCAGGGCUGCAGCAGGUGCAGGGCUGGUUGGUGAAGAGGCUCACCCUCUCCUCCGUCCUCAGCCCCAACGCUCCCCAAACCUGUGCAUUAGAGCUGUGCUGGAGUUCUUCACGUCUCUACCAGGCCAGGUGGUCACUGCUAAACUCGCCUUGGAGAGAGGAAGCCUGGAUUAUCUGUCAGGUCCAGGGGGACGAUGCUCCAUUGGGCCCCCAGCUUCAUGGGGCUGCUACCUUGGUCUGGAGACCCUCCGUGUGUGAGGAGUUUGCACCCUUCAGAGUUUCAGCUGGAAAGUGGAUCUAUCGUCUUGGUGCUUCAGAGGAAACUUCUACAAUAUUCAGAUGGACGGGGCUCUCAGCCCCUCGACCACAAGGCUGUUCCAGCCUGAGCAGGGGUACCCUGCCCUGGAAUGAAUGAGCUCCGCAAAUACUCAUCUCUGGGCAGCUGCCAAGUCUGGCCCCACUCCAGAGGACCGAGUGCUUGCAUCUGUCCCACUUCCCUUGGCAUGAAG
rnacentral:lncRNA from 1 species